rnacentral:lncRNA from 1 species
UCAAAUUGUUUGAUAAUUUCUCCUCUGCUUGGUCAAUUGGUGAAUUUUUGUGAGACAUGUUUUUAUUUGAUUUGUGAAAUUCUGGUUAUUAGUUGGAUGGACUUGAAAUUUUGUGGAGUGAUUUUAGACACAUUGAAGUGUAUCAUGGUUUUGGUUUGGUGCAUUUAUCAUGUUCCUACACUGUUUUAUGCUUGAUUGAAG